UACGGGGGGGGCAAGCGUUGUUCGGAAUUACUGGGCGUAAAGGGCGCGUAGGCGGCCUGCUAAGUCGGAUGUGAAAUCCCUCGGCUCAACCGAGGAACUGCAUCCGAUACUGGCGGGCUUAAAUCCGGGAGAGGGAUGUGGAAUUCCAGGUGUAGCGGUGAAAUGCGUAGAUAUCUGGAGGAACACCGGUGGCGAAGGCGGCAUCCUGGACCGGUAUUGACGCUGAGGCGCGAAAGCCAGGGGAGCGAACGGG
rnacentral:rRNA from 1 species